ensembl:lncRNA
CUCACGUCUAAAUAUCAUGAAAGAGAUAUUAAUUAAACAGAAACCUUAUAAGGUCGAGCUUUAAUCAUGUACAAGUCAAAGUCUCAACACACCACCGACCCUUUGACGACCCUUGAUUCAGAGCGGCCGGUUGUGCUGUUUGUCCCUUUGUCCGCACCGUAGAAACAGGAAGUAAUAGACAGGCUCCAGCAAAAUAAAAACACAUUGGAACGAAAUUAUCUCCAAUUCAUAUUUGCCUCGAAAUGGACAGUGAAAAUCUAAAGUCAAUGAGCAACAAUUCAAGCUGCGUACUUUUUAACACUGAUCCAGACGACUAUCGAUGCGUGGUGAUUUUAACUGUAAAACGAGCCACAGGAACCUUCUCCUUAGUAGGAUGCCUUUUCAUGCUGUUUGUGAUCUGGCUGCUUCGCAGGUAUCACUCUUUGGCUCAGGGUGAGUCACAUCCAGAGGGAUCGCUUUGCAACUUUCAGGCCUGGUGGCUAACGUACUUUGACUGGAGUGCCUUGGCCUGGGUUUGCCUCAUCACACUGAACCUGUACCUCAACCUGGUCAGAGAAGUCAGCACCAGCCGAUAUGAGAUGUGAGUAGGUGGCUCAGUGCUGCGGCUAACAAUUAUUUCCAUAAUUGUUCAUUUGAUUUACAGAUAUAUCAUUUACAUUUCUAGAUUUUUUGGGUUGUAGAUGUUUUAUUUUGUACCACGCAACCCACGCUUAUUAAAGUGUUAUAAAUCGAGAAAAGUACUAAAUUCUCAUGAAAACGGUGAAUGAUUGAAUUUUUUAUUUCUUUUUUUAAUCCUUGAUUUGAUUUUUAAUCUGAAAUAGUAAAAAUCUAAAUGCUGUUUUUUUUUUUUUUCAUAAUUCAUUUAUUGAUUGAUUAACACAUUUUUAAACAGGUUAUUUCCUGUCUCGGUGUCCACCUUGUUGUCUCCCUCGAAAUGUAUAUUUCUCUUUCGCGUUGCGGCCAUUUUCCUCUGCGCGUGUAUUUACGUGUGUGUGUGUGUGUGUGUGUUUGUGUGUAUGUGUUUGGUCUGCCAGAGCAUGUGUCUCCCCGCAGAGCGGUGACAGCCCCCCCUGCUCCCCAUCCCUCCCUCCCUCCCUCCCUCCUCCUCCUCUUUCUCUGUUCCAGCCAGCCGACGCUCUAAUUGAAAAGGGAGUGAGUGUCAGCCGUUAAGUGUGUGCGUUUGUGUGUGUGUGUGUGCGUGCCUGCAUGCGUGCGCACCCAUCUUCACGCUUUGUGGCUCUAUGUUUCUGUCGCUCAAACUCCCAUGAGCGCUCUCCUCCACAGCGCGAGUGUGAAUUUGUUUGUGUGUGUGUGUGUGAGUGUGUGAGAUAUUCUCUCAUUUUCCGUGCCUAGCGCGGAGCUUUUCUGUGACACACGCACAUAUUCUAAAAAAAAAAAAAAAAAAGUAUGCGCUCAGUGGGCGGAAGAGAACGCUUCAGCAAGUUAGCUGCAACUCUGUUUCGUAUCCUGUAGAUGUGAUUAGGUGUGCACCCCCCCCCUACCCUUCUGUGUAUGAGGACUUGGGCCGGUAAAUUGAGGUCCCCCCCCUCCCCACCCAUGGGAGUUUCCCUGCAUUGAUUAGCAAUAAGCCAGACGAUAUAAUAGUGUUAUAACUCAGAAAGAGACGGCUUUAUGGGCGCAGGAAGGGGGCAGCUAGGGGGCCAAAAUCGGCUUGCUUCAGAGCCUUGUCACCUGCAUAUCCUCUCAUGGGUCCAUAGGGACUUGGUUGGAGGAGGAUGUGUCUGCGUUUUAGUGUGUUGCCGGUCACACAUAAUGCAAAGGAAAAAAAAAGCAACCCAACCCUUAAUGGGUUAGAGCGAAGCCAAGCGAAGUCGUGGCAUCAUGUAUUAAAUGUGCGUAGAUAAGCUGUAUGUUUUAGGGCAGGCGGGUAUGUGGCUUUGCAUGCAUGCACAAUUACCCUGAACCCAACCAACACCCCCCCCCCCCCCCCCCCCACACACACACACACACACACACACACACACACACACACACACACACACCCAUGAAAAGUGAAGGCACAGCGUGAUGGUUUAUAAAUGAACAAAUCGCCAGAGGAGAUGGAGGAACGGAGGC